rnacentral:tRNA from 1 species
CCCCUUUUAGCUCAGUGGUCGAGCGUUGGCGUUGGAAGCCACAGGUCGGUGGUUCGAAACCACCAGGGCGCA